rnacentral:rRNA from 1 species
CCUACGGGAGGCAGCAGUGGGGAAUAUUGCACAAUGGGGGAAACCCUGAUGCAGCGACGCCGCGUGAAGGAAGAAGUAUUUCUGUAUGUAAACUUCUAUCAGCAGGGAAGAAAAUGACGGUACCUGACUAAGAAGCCCCGGCUAACUACGUGCCAGCAGCCGCGGUAAUACGUAGGGGGCAAGCGUUAUCCGGAUUUACUGGGGGUAAAGGGAGCGUAGGCGGCGAUGCAAGUCAGAAGUGAAAGCCCGGGGCUCAACUCCGGGACGGCCUUUGAAACUGUGUUGCUAGAGUGCAGGAGAGGUAAGUGGAAUUCCUAGUGUAGCGGUGAAAUGCGUAGAUAUUAGGAGGAACACCAGUGGCGAAGGCGGCUUACUGGACUGUAAAUGACGCUGAGGCUCGAAAGCGUGGGGAGCAAACAGGAUUAGAUACCCUAGUAGUC